AACAGCAACGGUGAUUGCAAGAACUACUGCAAUCCCUGCGGUUUUUCCUCUUGGUAAAUGCGUUCUGGUCGUGACCAAGGGUGGUCUCCCAAAUCGGCCGGGAAUAAGGCUAUUGUUGCAGAACAAAACGCCGCAACCACUGCUGUGGUAAAUAUGUUCCAGCAGAGCUGCCCACCGCCGUCGGUGUAAUGAUUUCGAUAGCUGAACAAACGCCAUCUCCUGGGCAUUCCCACAGCUUGCCGACACUAGCUAUUAUAUCACGUGUGAAUGCAACUGCGGCUUAAUUUGGUUAUUAACAGUGCAAUAGUGCCAUGUCAUUGGCAAAAACACUAAGGGCUGCUGGCAAAUAUAGGUUGUAAAGUUUUUGGUAUCGAUGAACUUACUCGAAGAAGACGAUGGCCGAAAACAUAUGAUGAAACAUCUUCUGGCAUGCCUUUGACAAUCGUUAAGUCAGACGGAGGCUUCACAUACGAUAUUUCACACAUGGCUGGAAUUCGUUA
rnacentral:lncRNA from 1 species